CUCACACACAGGAGCCAGACUGCUUUCUAAUGGGUGGUUAAACAAAUUAAAGCAGAAACUUCAGAAAGCAGAUCAUUUCCCAAACUCCUUCCAUUUUACUGAUAGGUAACGGAAGCCACAAGAAAUGGAACCUUCUCCAUGGCCAGUUACUAAGAAGAGCUACCAGCAGUUCCUCGUUCAACUGCCAGGAGUAAAUUUGAUGGCAACAGCAAUCCCUACCCUACCCACUUAGGCUUUUGGCUUUUCAUAGCCAGACAGCUGCAGAGGCAGAGAAAAAUGCAGAGGCCCAAAUGGGAGGCGUGUAUUCAGAAGCCCGACCUGCGGGAAAGGUCCCAGGCGGCGACCCGAGCACCGAGCUUUCCCUUACAUUAUGCACAACCUGGAUAUUUGGACCUGCUGCUCAGUGGAUCCUGUCCUUCUGUGAAGGUGUCAUUAUACACUUAAAAAAAUGCACUUGCAUGGUAAGAUCCAACCUCUUCUGUUAAACAGGUAGUUAGACAAUGCAGUGCCUCUUGAUAGUUAAGUGUGGCUAAACGUGUGCAAUGCCUCCACACACAUGUGCGUGCACACGCACAUGUUCUGAGAUGGUUUAACUUGAGAGUUCAGCUCUAUCCUUGGGUACUGUUAAAGUAUUUAAUACGAGCCCAUUUACAAACAAAAGGACUGUCACUUUGAUGCCUAUGCACGGAAAGAAAGAUGUGCUUGUUGGCCACCAAAUAGCUCCGUUUCCGUACAGUUAAUCUUAGGAGCUUCUGUUCAUGCUCAAUUCUGAUUUCCACUUUGCAGAGACUUGCCUCUGCUGUUUGGACAGGUGAGAGCAUCAAACACACAAUUCUGUUAAAAUUAUAGCUUGUUUGUGUGAGGCAGAAGCAUUUUAGCAUGUUAUCAGUUACUCCUACUGUCUAUUUUGACGGCUUUUUAUUUAUGAAAUAUUGGCAUAUUUUUAUCUGCAAGUCUUCUCAGUUGUUUUUGGAAGAGAGAUUUGGAGAAACAUGAAUGGUGGGUGCAGCCAUGGACAGCCGAUUCUAAAUUAAAUGAUCUUGCCAUUUUAUUUUUAAAAAAGAGAAAUUAGCACGAGUUCAUUUAAUGUCUUGCAAGGUCCAAGCCAGAAAUAAUUCCAUAAUCCUAAAGGACUGCUCCUCUUUAAGACUAAAAACAUCUCUUUAAAUACAUGUGCCUUUAUCUUAGCAUUUUGCAUUCUUUUAUAUUUCUCUGGGCAUUGGAUUUUGGGCUCUGUUUAGUGCACAUCCCUUUCUUCUAAAUUCUCCUUAAAACUAAUCUCUUUUGGGGAGUCUUUCCAGAACGUUGUGUCUCAGCAUUCAUACUUUUUAUUGUGUGUACAGAGGGAAUUUGUUUUUCUCACUUGAUUCUGCAUGGCAUGGGGGCUGGAUAAAAGUGGGCAUGUCUUUUAUCCAAAAUAUAAAAAAAAGUUUUUCAGAACACCCGAUUAAAACCAACCACAAUGCUGAGAGGACUGCUUGGGACAAGAAAUCAUUUGCAUGUCAAGGUUCUUUCAUUCUUUAUGAUAACCUGCUGCUAGAAAUACUGCAGCUCCUGGAUGAGCCCGACCUAAAACUGAUAUCCAGCAGUGAAAUUUGAAUUUCGAUAUAUGUUGUAUAAUGAGACCCACUUAAAGUCCUUUGAGCCUAAAAUCUCAUGAAAACCAUUUCUGUAAGAUCCUUUCCAUAUUUCCUGUUUCUAGGGAUGUAAUUAGAUUUAUGUAUGACUUACGAGGCUGUUGUAGCUUUGGUUAUAGUUACAAAGAGGGUGGACUCCGGUCAGAACUGUAACAUUGCCAAGUGCCUUAUUGGCGCCCUUUUCCCGGGUACCCAUUUGAUUUCCCUGGGACCCCAUUUCAGGGUCCACUAGGCCAGAUACUGUCCUUGGCUGAGGCCCCACUUUAUUCUGUGAUUCCAAUCCCCUUCUUAUCUGUUUGUUUGUAUGAUCAUUCAUUCAUUCAUUCUUUCAUAUAACAAAUACUCAUUGAGAACCAGGUUCUACUCUGCUCGGAAUUUAGAAGAGGACAGAAUUGCCACGGUUAAGACUUCAUCUGUGCAUAAGUUACAGAAGUAAUUAAUUCCUACCACAGCAGGUUGGGAAAGUGGGGAGGGGUGUCUGAGGAGAGCGAGGAGUAGGAGCAGGGUGUGAAGGGCAGGUGCAAGAGGCAGGAACCCUCUAACAGGGAGUCUCCAGGGGGAGGCAAGGAAUCUGCUCUUCUAGAAUCCAGCAGGAAACUGGUGUGCUGGAGCAGGAAGGGCAGGUGGGUGCGUGCAAUGGUCCUUUACAACUUUGAAGAUAUCAUAGAAAUUAUACUUGACUAGUUUGCUUUGCAUUUAGGCUACCAUUUAAAAAUAUUUAAUUUAUUGAUUGCUAAUAAUCCUAGGUAGUGUAAACCUCUUGGAAAUAUACUUAAUAUUUAGAAAAGUGCAUUUCAUUGUUAGUAAUCAAAAUUGCGACUCUCCAAAAAUUUUCAACAUUUCAUAUGGGAUUUGUCAACUAUAAAUUGAUUUCUUUUGAAUUCAUGUUUAUGCCAUUUCCUAUUUCAUCAAAGUUUUAGAAUUUUCACAGUUCUCUUGCCUGUUUUUCAAGUAGCACAUCCCCUCUGGUUUGCUAGUUCUAGGACCAGUAUCCAAAUUCUCUUUAUAUUGCUUUUGGUUUUGGUUCUCUCUCUAGGUCAUUUCUUACUCGUCUCCCCCUUAGCAUUCAACAGGUUAGCCCCCUCAUUGUGCUCUGUGACUUGGCCUGCUUUUACAUCUCUUCUCUAAAAUUGUUUUCAUUAUGAAUUAUCUUAUUUCAUUAUGUAUAGUUCUUAAAAACUUCCACUAUACUCCAGAAUUUGCAUGGAUAUACAUUUCAAGUAAAUCUGUUUAUCCUUUCUUAUCAAUGUCUGCUAACUUGUCCUUAGCACAUUUUUAUUCAAGGCCUAGUCUAUGCCUAACAUGAUGGGCUUUGGGAAUAUACAGAUUAAAUAAAAUCUAUAGCUUAUUAAUGCAGAGUCUAAAUAAUGGAACUUUAUCUGUAGUCUCCUGUUCCUUUUAGGCAGCAUUUUACUUAAAUAAAUGUUGUUUAUUAUACUAUAGAAAUGGAUGACACACUCUUUAUUUUUCUAUAAUGAUCUGUUGUGGGAUGUGAUACUAGCUUUUUGUUUUCCUUCCAAUGACAGGUAAGGCUUCAUCAAGCUUUGGCAUAAAAUUAUGUUUCUACUAACUGACUCUUUUUUUUUUUUUUAGAUUUAUUUAUUUUUCUUAGUUGGGGAGGGGCAGAAAGAGAGGGAGAGAGAGUGUCUUAAACAGACUCUGAGCUGAGCUCAGAACCCCACCCUGAGGUCAUGACCUGGGCCUGAUGCUUACCUGACUGUGCCACCCAGGUGUCCCUCUACUAAUUUACUUUAAUGGCAAAUAUUGGCAGCACUUGACUUUUUAUAUGUUUGAUUUUUGGAAGCUCAAAAUUUAUAUCUUCUUAAAAUUUACUAGCUAAUUCCUGAUUUCUUUUUCCUUCUCUUUCUCAAGAAGGAAAAAAAAAUUACUACUCACACCUUGAUUAGCUCUAAGCUACUUGUGGUUCCUUGAACUAUUUAGGUCAAGUGACUUCUAAAUGAGACCCAUUCAGGUUCUUUGUUGAAUGUGUAAGUACUGUUUUCCCCCAGCAAAUACAAUACCCAAUAAAGCCAACUUUACUGUUAUUACUUGGUGGGUGUUUUCCAAGAUGGUCACUGGGAUUUCAAUGUUUGGCAAACUAUGGUAUGGUAACUGAAAAAUUCUGCUGUUUUGGAUAGAAUUAUGCAGUGCUCAAUACAUACAAGCUUGAUGCUCUACCAAAACUGUAAAUUGUAAAACAUCGUAAUUGUAAUUGUUAAACAGCCAAGAAAAUGUUACAAAUAUAGAAUUUUAAAAUAUUAUUUGCUUUUCCAAUCAAGGUUCAGUUCAAAACACAGAAUCCAGUUCAGGUAUUUUAAGCAGAAAUGACUUUGUUUUAGGGAGCUUAGGUGCCCACACAAGUACUGGAAAGACUAGAGAAGUAGGCAUCAGGCUAGAACUCUGGAAAUAAUGCCUAGAACAAAAUCUUUGUCCUAGUCCAGGACAGGGGAGUCUGAAGCUAGGGAUGGACACUUGAAAGCAAGAUCUGCUCCUUGUCUUACCUGCAACUGCCUCUUAAUACCCAGAGGGGGAAAAAACCAAAAGGGAUCAGUCCCUCCUCUACAUUGCUUCUACCCUUAAAAUCUUAACAACAUUUUAUAUCAUCAGGACCUUUAGCUGAAGGGGAGUCUGGGAAAUGUAGUCCUUAGCCUCUCAGCUUCUACAGGGCACAGAAGUAUUCUGGAAAGGGUUGAGAACGAGUGCUGAGUGCCAGUUCAUUAUACCCAGCAGAAUUACAGAAGGGCAAAAUAAUGGAUAUGCAGAUGGCUGCCACACAAGGAGAAGGCUUCUUGUAGUUUUUGUUACUGGAAUCUUCUAUCAUCAGAGCAGUCAACCCUCCCCAUAUUUGUCACACUUGAAUAAUGACUGUCAAGAAAAUUUUAGUAAGGUUUAGGUCUAUUCAAAAAGGAAAGGGAAAGUGAAACAUGAAGGUAACCUGAGGAGUAUUAAUGAAGUCAGUUUCAUGCUAAUAUGCCCCAACCUCAACCCUCACUGCAGGCUGAUGUAGGGGCAGCAAGCAGGGAUCCAGCAGCAUCUUCAAUUAACACAAAAUUCAAGUGGUACAAGGUCUCCUGGGAGCUGAAACAUUCUGUGAACUGGGAAGCAUUUGUAAUCUAGGUACUUAGAAAUAUUGUCAUGUUAAGUUUUCUUAUAACCAGAGUCAACAAACACAUCUUAGGCCCCAACCACGUGGAGCACCUUGUGUGGUGGGGUUUGGAGGUGAUGCCAAAGCAUAACAGGGCAUCUUUGGAUGAGGCAGAGAAACUCUGGCUAAGUUAGGUGAAAAUUGUCCUUACUGCCUAUUGCUUACGGGGUGACAUUUCUUCAGGUCUUGAAGGAUGCCCAGGAUAUCAUCAGGAGAAGGUGUUGACUCUAGGCAGAGGCACCAGGAUGGGUAGAGUUGCAGGGACCUUUUUGAUUCAAAAAACUCAACACCCAGAAAAACAAAGAAUCUGAUUAAAAUGGGCCGAAGACAUGAACAGACAUUUCUCCCAAGAAGACAUACAGAUGGCAACAGGCACAUGAAAAGAUGCUCAACAUUUUUCAACAAGAAACAAGUAUUGAUGAGGAUGUGGAGAAAAAGGAACCCUGGUGCACUGUUGGUGAGAAUACAAACUGGUGCAGCCACUCUGGAAAACAGCAUGGAGAUUCUUCAAAAAGUUAAAAAUAGAGCUACCCUAUGACCCACAAUUGCACUAUCGGGUAUCUACCCCCAAAAUACAAAAACAGUAAUUCAAAGGGAUACACACACCCCUGUAUUUAUUGCAGCAUUAUUUACAAUAGUUAAAUUAUGGAAGCAGCCCAAGUGUCCCUCGAUAGAUAAAUGGAUAAAGAAGAUGUGAUAUCUAUCUAUCAGUCUGUCAUCUAUGAUAGAAUAUUACUCAGUUUUAAAAAAUGAAAUCUUGUCAUUUGCUAGGACAGGGAUGGAGCUAGAGAGUAUAAUGCUUAGUGAAAUAAGUCAGCCAGAGAAAGACAAAUACCAUAUGAUUUCACUCAUGUGUAGAACUUAAGAAACAAAACAAAAGAACAAAGGGAAAAAGAGACAAACUGAAAAGCAGUCUCUUAACUAUAGAGAACAAACUGAUGGUUACAAGGGGAAGGCCGAGGGGUGGGGGGAAUUGGGAGAGCACUUAUUGUGAUGAGCAAUGAGUAUGUAUAGGGUUGUCGAAUCACUAUAGUGUACACUUGAAAAUAAUAUAACACUGUAUGUUAACUAUACUGGAAUUAAAAUAAAAAAACUUGAUAAAAAACAAAAAAGCCCAAAUACUGUAAUUUUCUUCUUGCUGUUUUGGCACUGGAUAGAGAAUGGCUGAGAUUUAUCAUUCACCAUAACAAUUUUUGGGUACAAUUUUAUAAGGAAAUUCUUGCUUUGGUUUCUAACAAGACCCUGUGGCCUCAAGAAUCUGAAAAGAUUUUGUGGUUUAGUUUUAUUUUCAUAGAAAGACCAAGAAAACCUCUGGAACACAAAUUGAUUCUGUAUUUUAGGUUUGCUGUAUAGCUUCUGACAACCACAGAUCUCUCAAGCUCUCAAGCUUAUGUUAACUGAAAUGAGCAAGAAUUUCUUCAAAUUCAGAGAAGCCCGUGAAUGCUGCAGCAAGUUCCCAGAAUUCUGUUUACCUACAACUAGUCAAAUGCCUCUUUUUAGUCCUCCGAGUUGGAACUAGGAGUCACCUAUAAUUUUAUGUUUCUUGAAAGUUUUCCUGAGAAGUCACUUUUAAGUAUCUCAUUUUUAAAAUUCUGUAUCAUAUUUUUAUUGCCUUUAUAUUUUCGGUGAAC